CCCUUAGAUGUUCUGGGCUGCACGCGCGCUACACUGGUUCGUUCAGCGAGUUUAGCACCUUAACAGAUAUGUUUGGGUAAUCUUCUGAAAACGCACCGUGAUGGGGAUCGAUUAUUGUAAUUAUUAAUCGUCAACGAGGAAUUCCUAGUAAGUGUGAAUCAUCAGUUCGCGCUGAUUACGUCCCUGCCCUUUGUACACACCGCCCGUCGCUGCUACCGAUUGAGUGGUCCGGUGAAUUAUUCGGACCGGUGGACUGUGGGGAAACCCGCGGCCUGCUGGGAAGUCUUGUGAACCUUAUCACUUAGAGGAAGCAGAAGUCGUAACA
rnacentral:rRNA from 1 species